AUUUAUAUAGUUUAAUUAAAACCUUACAUUUUCAUUGUAAAAUUAAAGAACCUAUCUUUUAUAAAUU
rnacentral:tRNA from 1 species